rnacentral:ncRNA from 2 species
UAAUUGAAAUAUAAACUCACCUGCUCAUAAUAGAGGGGUAUUUAGGAAUGAGGUGCAAGUCCUCAGCUGUUCCCGCAACUGUAAGCCACAUUAGUGAUAAGCCAGAUACUAAAUACGUUACAAUCAACUUA